AGCUAGUUAGUUUAUUAGGUAAAAUUUUUGUUUGUGGUACAAAGGAAAGAUUUAGCUAU
rnacentral:tRNA from 1 species